CCGGGAGCGCGGACGCCCCGAGCUCGGAGCGGGGGCAGGGUCGCGGGAAAACGUCGCCCGUCGGUGGCUUCGGUCAGCCCGUCCGCUCGCUGCUCUGCGGUGCGCCUCUGUCUGUCUGUGUGUGUGUCCGUCCGUCCGAGCGUCCGUUGAUGGGCACGCGCCCCUGUCACUGUCCUCUGUGAGAUUUCACCGAGCCCGUGUGAUCUGUGCAAGCAGCAGGUGCCGGGGGCGCCGGCGUCCACGGAGCGCACCCAGCGCGGGGGGGUGCUCUUGCUUUCCGUAGCGUUCCCCCCUUCUCAGUGGCUGAGUCUUGCGCCCGGGACGGUGGCUGGCGGGCGAGGGACCGCUCCGAGGGUCGGGUCGCCGGGUCCGGCCGCUCACACUGUGCACUAGCGCGUGUGCGCCUGGCCACGUUGCGCCCUGCGGCUCGGCCCCGCGCGCUCUUCCUCCUGGGCCCCCCUCCGCCUCCCGCCGCCUCUGGCUCCCGCACCUCCGGAUCGCGCUGGGCUCCCCGCGUCGCGCUGGCGCGGGAGGCGACUGGAUGUGAAAAGAAGUUGACGGCCCCUGUUGAUGUUUAGACUGAGACUCCAAACCCGGCGUUGCCGGGAGAGGGUUUGGUGGUGCCUGGCACGGGACGUCGGCUCCAGAAAAGGUUACCUUAGGUUGGGAGGAAAGGCAGGGACCUGGCAGAGCGCAAGCCAGGGCUGCGGCCACGUCUCCGGCUCGCCGCUCCGGGAACCAGGGCCAGAGACCUUCUGGAAUGGACCCGGCGGCACGCAUGUGCUCUGGAGAAAGGCGCCCAGUGCGCCCGAGGUCGUCAGCCGCAGACUCUCAGCUCUCAGAGACCGCCGCCGCCGGUCCCCAAGCGUCCAGCACGGCGGCCGUCCAGGCGCGCCUCCAGCAGCCGGCUUUGAGGUCCUGAGUCUCGCUCCGCGCAGCCAGCGUUGCCCACAGACUCCAAACCCUGCUUAAUGUUCCUGUUGGGGAACUGGUUGACAAAAGUCAUGCCCGUGUCGAAGCUGAUCCCAGUGCCAACAAAAAUCUCACUGAAAGCUAAAUGGAAGAAUUUUUGUGAGACGAGUCAGCCGCCUGUGUUUCUCACCUGUAUACACUUGGAAGAAAGACAAAAUCAGAAGACUUUUUAGCUCCCUGCCUCUAAGCUCAAGGAUGCAGUCCACAGAUGCUGGGAGUCUCUCGGUCAUUUUCGCCUGCCCGGCGAUGUGGCGAUGUGAAUGGUGCAGGAGGCUGAACCCCAGUUGACCUUGAAGGGCUGGCUGUCUUCUCUGGACUCCCCUGCAGGUUCCGGUCCCCAGCGCGCAGCUUUCUGGUAGGAAGACGACCGAACUACAGAACAUUCUUGGAAUGCGGGGCCAACCAGGGGAGGAACAGGUGUAGGAGGGAGAGGGGGUCUCCGCGGGCCCCGUGGCACUCUGUGCGCAACAGCAGGGGCUGAGUCUCCGGACAGACCAGUCUGAUGGCAAGAGCGGCAUUCGGGGGGUGGGGGGGAGGCAGCAGGCUGAGAGGGGCGCAUACGGCCCUUGAACCCCGCUGCUUGAGUGGCCCCCUUCUGUGGUGUCUGCAGGGCGGCACCGUCUGUAGAGCGAGUGCAUCCUGCGUUUGUAGCUGGGGCUCAAGAGAGCGUUAGGAGGGGUAGUGGGCACAGAGGGGCCCUUCUCAGUGCUGAGUGCCUUUUUCACAGUGUUCACCUGGGCCCUGAGCCUCCUUCCCCAAGAGCCCGACACACGGAAACUGUGUUAAAGGGGGUAGGACUGUGGUGGCUCUCGUGGCAUUCCUCUCUGUGCCUCUGCCCCCGCCCCCCGGACCCGCUCGCUCCCUCCAGGGGCCAUCCUAGCCCCUCUGGUGGGUCUCCCGCUCCUUCCCUUGUCCUCCUGUCCUCCGUCUGCUCCGGUGCCAGGCUUCGUUCAAACCUGGCUCUUCAGAAGGGAGACUGCCUGCAGAGAAAUGUCAUCAAAUAUACAUUUGCUCUCCGCUCGGCUCCCCCGGGGCCAGGAAACACCCUUCCCCACCCUGCUGCUUUUCCAGGGCCCCUCUCCAGGCUCGUGGGCUCAGCGAGCCCACCCCCUGCGGGUGAGGGAGCCCUGGCGAGCACAGCCGUCCCCCGGCCCCGUACUCACUCCGAGCAGGUCGCCAGCUCUGGACAGUCUGGCUCCUCGUGGCACCGGCAGAUGGCCGGGGUGUUAUCUUGGAAUCUUCUGCUUCUGAGGCAGGAUGGAUGCGGGACUGAGACUUGAAUAGGCAAACGAGUCUCGGGACCGGGUUAGGAAGCUCGCUCCCAUUGGCCGGUCUGGGUGGGUGGGGGGCUGAGAGUCUGCGCUGGUGCACGGACCCCCCCCUGUGGGGUGCCAGCGGGGACACCUGCACCUUCCUGUCUUCGACCUCGGCACUUCCGGGUGUGCCCUGUGGGUUUCUGGUGUCUGAGCGCCUGCGGUCCAGCUGGCCUGUGUCCCCCUGGUGACCUCAUACCGACCCCUCACAUUCUCAGAGGUGAUUAUUGUUGCUUCUAAACCGUCUUCUCGGUCCACUAAAUAUCUUGAAUCCCUUGUCCCUUGUCAUAAUAAAUUUCCCAGCGCUCUGA